rnacentral:sRNA from 1 species
GCACUUCCCACGUCCCCGGCGCUUCUGCCCCUGGGAUGUGGGAUCCCCACGGACCUGGAAAUUCUCGCCUGUCUUCCUUCACCCAGAGCAAAUUGAGACGUCCCGGCCUCGCACCUGAGCUCUACAAUCAUGUGUCCACUUGUCUCCUCAGCUGUCUCCUGGGUCAUCAAACAGGCAUCCCCACCUUCAGGUGUCCAUAAGUGACUUCCUAAAUCCCCAAACACAUUCCCUUGCAGUCUGCACAUCUCAGAUGAGGGUGACUAUGUACUUCCGGAAACAGCCAAACUUGACAGCAUGUAUUUUAAAUUUGGGAAAUAAAUUACUUUAUUAGU